CAAUAGCGUAUAUUAAAGUUGUUGCGGUUAAAAAGCUCGUAGUUGGAUUUCUGCUGAGGACGAUCGGUCCGCCCACUGGGUGAGUAUCUGGCUCGGCCUUGGCAUCUUCUUGGAGAACGUUGCUGCACUUGACUGUGUGGUGCGGUAUCCAGGACUUUUACUUUGAGGAAAUUAGAGUGUUUCAAGCAGGCGCACGCCUUGAAUACAUUAGCAUGGAAUAAUAAGAUAGGACCUUGGUUCUAUUUUGUUGGUUUCUAGAGCUGAGGUAAUGAUUAAUAGGGAUAGUUGGGGGCAUUCGUAUUAAACUGUCAGAGGUGAAAGUCUUGGAUUUGUUAAAGAUGGACUACUGCGAAAGCAUUUGCCAAGGAUGUUUUCAUUGA
rnacentral:rRNA from 1 species